rnacentral:rRNA from 1 species
GGGCCCGCACAAGCGGUGGAGCAUGUGGUUUAAUUCGAUGAUACGCGAGGAACCUUACCAGGGCUUAAAUGUAGUGGGACAGGUCUAGAGAUAGACCCUUCUUCGGACUCAUUACAAGGUGCUGCAUGGUUGUCGUCAGCUCGUGCCGUGAGGUGUCAGGUUAAGUCCUAUAACGAGCGCAACCCCUAUCGUUAGUUGCCAGCGAGUAAUGUCGGGAACUCUAACGAAACUGCCAGUGCAAACUGUGAGGAAGGUGGGGAUGACGUCAAAUCAUCACGGCCCUUACGUCCUGGCUACACACGUGCUACAAUGGCUAGGACAGACGGCCGCAAACCCGCGAGGGGGAG